rnacentral:rRNA from 1 species
UACAGAGGUCCCGAGCGUUGUUCGGAUUUAUUGGGCGUAAAGGGUGCGUAGGCGGCGGAGUAAGUUGGGUGUGAAAUCCCGGGGCUUAAACCCUCGGAAUUGCAUUCAAUACUGCUUCGCUUGAGUACUGGAGAGGAGGCUGGAAUUUACGGUGUAGCAGUGAAAUGCGUAGAUAUCGUAAGGAAGGCCGGUGGCGAAAGCGAGCCUCUGGACAGUUACUGACGCUGAUGCACGAAGGCCAAGGGGAGCGAAACAGG